rnacentral:rRNA from 1 species
GACGGGGGAUGCAAGCGUUAUCCGGAAUCACUGGGCGUAAAGCGUCUGUAGGUGGUGAUGCAAGUCACUGGUGCAAAACUCUGGCUCAACCGGAGGAAAGCCAGUGAAACUGCAUGACUAGAGUGUGGGAGAGGUAGAAGGAAUUCCCUGAGUAGCGGUGAAAUGCGUAGAUACAGGGAAGAACACCGGAGGCGAAAGCGUUCUACUGGAACACAACUGACACUGAGGGACGAAAGCCAGGGGAGCGAACGGG